GACGAACGCUGGCGGCGUGCUUAACACAUGCAAGUCGAACGGUAAGGCCCUUCGGGGUACACGAGUGGCGAACGGGUGAGUAACACGUGGGUGAUCUGCCCUGCACUUCGGGAUAAGCCUGGGAAACUGGGUCUAAUACCGGAUAGGACCACUGCCUGCAUGGGUGGUGGUGGAAAGCUUUUGCGGUGUGGGAUGGGCCCGCGGACUAUCAGCUUGUUGGGGGGGUGAUGGCCUACCAAGGCGACGACGGGUAGCCGGCCUGAGAGGGUGACAGGCCACACUGGGACUGAGCUACGGCCCAGACUCCUACGGGAGGCAGCAGUGAGGAAUAUUGCACAAUGGGCGCAAGCCUGAUGCAGCGACGCCGCGUGGGGGAUGACGGCCUUCGGGUUGUAAACCUCUUUCAGCACCGACGAAGCGCAAGUGACGGUAGGUGCAGAAGAAGGACCGGCCAACUACGUGCCAGCCGCCGCCGUAA
rnacentral:rRNA from 1 species